AAGAGAAGAGAAACUACAGAUAUACGAGGAGACGGAGAGACUCAGGGAGGAGCUGAGCUGUUACUGAACUAUAGAAGAGAGAGGAACUUCUAGAUUCAACAGAGAUCAAUACACACACCAUCAACAUUACCUUUAUUCAACAUGCUGCCACUGCAGCAUUGGGGGUUUUCUCUAAUGUUUCUCUCCAUCCUCACAGGUAUCAGCGGUGAAGAACUCACUCCAGUAGAGAAAGAAGAGAACAGUUUAGAAGACAGCUCUGCUACUCUGUCCUACAGAUACUCCAGACAAGCAAAAUAUGAUGAUUAUUUCUUCUGGUAUCGACAAUAUCCAGGAAAACCACCAGGGUUUAUCAUCUCUCAUUCAGGAACAG